GCCGAAGUGGUGGAAUUGGUAGACGCACCGGUUUCAGGGACCGGCGGGCGCAAGCCUGUGGGGGUUCAAAUCCCCCCUUCGGCACCA
rnacentral:tRNA from 1 species